rnacentral:rRNA from 1 species
ACACGGUCCAGACUCCUACGGGAGGCAGCAGUGGGGAAUUUUGCGCAAUGGGCGAAAGCCUGACGCAGCAACGCCGCGUGAGUGAUGAAGGCUUUCGGGUCGUAAAGCUCUGUCAAGGGGAAAGAAGUGUAUUGUGGUUAAUACCCAUGGUACUUGACGGUACCCCUAAAGGAAGCACCGGCUAACUCCGUGCCAGCAGCCGCGGUAAUACGGGGGGUGCAAGCGUUGUUCGGAAUUAUUGGGCGUAAAGCGCGUGUAGGCGGUUUGUUAAGUCUGAUGUGAAAGCCCUGGGCUCAACCCAGGAAGUGCAUUGGAUACUGGCAGACUUGAAUACGGGAGAGGGUAGUGGAAUUCCUGGUGUA